rnacentral:lncRNA from 1 species
AGCUAACGGAAUGGGUCAAGUCAAUCACGUCAUUCUCCUAAUGAGGUGAUCUCGUUAAUCUAAUGACAACUUAUGUCUAUGGCUAGGAAACAUAACCAUCUUUGAUUAACGAGCUAGUCAAGUAGAGGCAUACUAGUGACACUCUGUUUGUCUAUGUAUUCACACAUGUAUUAUGUUUCCGGUUAAUACAAUUCUAGCAUGAAUAAUAAACAUUUAUCAUGAUAUAAGGAAAUAAAUAAUAACUUUAUUAUUGCCUCUAGGGCAUAUUUCCUUCAGUCUCCCACUUGCACUAGAGUCAAUAAUCUAGUUCACAUCGCCAUGUGAUUUAACAUGAAUAGUUCACAUCACCAUGUGAUUAACACCCAUAGUUCACAUCGUCAUGUGACCAUCACCCAAAAGGGUUUUACUAGAGUCAGUAAUCUAGUUCACAUCACUAUGUGAUUAACACCCAAAGAGUACUAAGGUGUGAUCAUGUUUUGCUUGUGAGAUAAUUUUAGUCAACGGGUCUGUCACAUUCAGAUCAGUAAGUAUUUUGCAAAUUUCUAUGUCUACAAUGCUCUGCAUGGAGCUACUCUAGCUAAUUGCUCCCACUUUCAAUAUGUAUCUAGACCGAGACUUAGAGUCAUCUAGAUUAGUGUCAAAACUUGCAUCGACGUAACCUUUUACGAUGAGCCUUUUGUCACUUCCAUAAUCGAGAAACAUAUCCUUAUUCCAGUAAGGAUAAUUUUGACCGCUGUCCGGUGAUCUACUCCUAGAUCACUAUUGUACUCCCUUGCCAAAAUCAGUGUAGGGUAUACAAUAGAUCUGGUACACAGCAUGGCAUACUUUAUAGGACCUAUGGCCGAGGCAUAGGGAAUGACUUUCAUUCUUUUUCUAUCUUCUGCCGUGGUCGGGUUUUGAGUCUUACUCAAUUUCACACCUUGUAACACAGGCAAGAAACUCUUUCUUUGACUGUUCCAUUUUGAACCACUUCAAAAUCUUGUUAAGGUAUGUAAUCAUUGAAAAAACUUAUCAAGCGUCUUGAUCUAUCUCUAUAGAUCUUGAUGCUCAAUUUGUAAGCAGCUUCACCGAGGUCUUUCUUUGAAAAACUCCUUUACGCUUUGCAGAAUAAUUCUACAUUAUUUUCGAUCAACAAUAUGUCACUUACAUAUACUUAUCAGAAAUGUUGUAGUGCUCCCACCCACUUUCUUGUAAAUACAGGCUUCACCGCAAGUCUGUAUAAAACCAUAUCCUUUGAUCAACUUAUCAAAGCGUAUAUUCCUACUCCGAGAUGCUUGCACCAGUCCAUAGAUGGAUCGCUGGAGCUUGCAUAUUUUGUUAGCACCUUUAGGAUUGACAAAACCUUCUGGUUGCAUCAUAUACAACUCUUCUUUAAUAAAUCCAUUAAGGAAUAUAGUUUUGUUUAUCCAUUUGCCAUAUUUCAUAAAAUGCGGCAAUUGCUAACAUGAUUCAGACAGACUUAAGCAUAGAUACGAGUGAGAAACUCUCAUCGUAGUCAACACCUUGAACUUGUCGAAAAACCUUUUUGCGACAAUUCUAGCUUUGUAGAUAGUAACACUACUAUCAUCGUCCAUCUUUCUCUUGGCGAUCCAUUUAUUCUCAAUUUCUUGCCGAUCAUCGGGCAAGUCAAUCAAAGUCCAUACUUUGUUCUCAUACAUGGAUCCCAUCUCAGAUUUCAUGGCCUCAAGCCAUUUUGCGGAAUCUGGGCUCACCAUCGCUUCUUCAUAGUUCGUAGGUUCGUCAUGGUCUAGUAACAUAACCUCCAGAACAGGAUUACCGUACCACUCUGGUGCGGAUCUUACUCUGGUUGAUCUACGAGGUUCAGUAAUAACUUGAUCUGAAGUUUCAUGAUCAUCAUCAUUAACUUCCUCACUAAUUGGUGUAGGUGGCUCAGAAACUGGUUUCUGUGAUGAACUACUUUCCAAUAAGGGAGCAGGUAUAGUUACCUCAUCAAGUUCUACUUUCCUCCCACUCACUUCUUUCGAGAGAAACUCCUUUUCUAGAAAAUUUCCGAAUUUAGCAACAAAAGUUUUGCCUUCGGAUCUGUGAUAGAAGGUAUACCCAACAGUCUCCUUUGGGUAUCCUAUGAAGACACAUUUCUCCGAUUUGGGUUCGAGCUUAUCAGGUUGAAGUUUCUUCACAUAAGCAUCGCAGCCCCAAACUUUAAGAAACGACAACUUUGGUUUCUUGCCAAACCACAGUUCAUAAGGCGUCGUCUCAACGGAUUUUGAUGGUGCCCUAUUUACGUGAAUGUAGCUGUCUCUAAUGCAUAACCCCCAAAACGAUUAGUGGUAAAUUGGUAAGAGACAUCAUAGAUUGCACUAUAUCCAAUAAAGUACGGUUAUGACGUUCGGACACACCAUUAUGCUGUGGUGUUCCAGGUGGCGUGAGUAGUGAAACUAUUUCACAUUGUUUUAACUGAAGGCCAAACUCGUAACUAAAAUACUCUUCUCCACGAUCAAAUCAUAGAAACUUUAUUUUCUUGUUACGAUGAUUUUCGCUUCACUCUGAAAUUAUAUGAACUUUUCAAAUGUUUCAGACUUCUGUUUCAUUAAGUAGAUAUACCCAUAUCUGCUCAAAUCAUCUGUGAAGGUCAGAAAAUAAUGAUACCUGCUACGAUCCUCAAUAUUCAUUGGACCACAUACAUCUGUAUGUAUGAUUUCCAACAAAUCUGUUGCUCUCUCCAUAGUUCCGGAGAACGGCGUUUUAGUCAUCUUGCCCAUGAGGCACGGUUCGCAAGCAUCAAGUGAUUCAUAAUCAAGUGAUUCCAAAAUCCCAUCAGUAUGGAGUUUCUUCAUGCGCUUUACACCAAUAUGACCUAAACGGCAGUGCCACAAAUAAGUUGCACUAUCAUUAUUAACUUUGCAUCUUUUGGCUUCAAUAUUAUGAAUAUGUGUAUCACUACGAUCGAGAUCCAACAAACCAUUUUCGUUGGUGUGUAUGACCAUAGAAGGUUUUUAUUCAUGUAAACAGAACAACAAUUGUUCUCUAACUUAAAUGAAUAACCGUAUUGCAAUAAACAUGAUCAAAUCAUAUUCAUGCUCAACGCAAACACCAAAUAACACUUAUUUAGUUUCAACACUAAUCCCGAAAGUAUAGGGAGUGUGCGACGAUGAUCAUAUCAAUCUUGGAACUACUUCCAACACACAUCGUCACCUCGCCUUUUACUAGUCUCUGUUUAUUCUGCUACUCCCGUUUUCGAGUUACUACUCUUUAGCAACUGAACCAGUAUCAAAUACUGAGGGGUUGCUAUAAACACUAGUAAGUACACAUCAAUAACAUGUAUAUCCAAUAUACCUUUGUUCACUUUGCCAUCUUUCUUAUCCACCAAAUACUUGGGGCAGUUCCGCUUCCAGUUGACCAAUCCCUUUGCAGUAGAAGCACUUAGUCUCAGGCUUAGGACCAGACUUAGGCUUCUUCACUUGAGCAGCAACUUGCUUGCCGUUAUUUUUGAAGUUCCCCUUCUUCCCUUUGCCCUUUUCUUGAAACUAGUGGUCUCAUCAACCAUCAACACUUGAAGUGGUCUCGUCAACCAUCAACACUUGAUGUUUUUCUUGAUUUCUACCUUCGUCGAUUUCAUCAGCAUCAUGAAGAGCUCGGGAAUUACUUUCGUCAUCGCUUGCAUACCAUAGUUCAUCUCGAAGUUCUACUAACUUGGUGAUGGUGACUAGAGAAUUCUGUCAAUCACUAUUUUAUCUGGAAGAUAAACUCCCACUUGAUUCAAGCGAUUGUAGUACCCAGACAAUCUGAGCACAUGUUCACUAGUUGAGCGAUUCUCCUCCAUCUUUUUGCUAUAUAACUUGUUGGAGAUUUCAUAUCUCUCAACUCGGGUAUUUGCUUGAAAUAUUAACUUCAACUCCUGGAACAUCUCAUAUGGUCCAUGACGUUCAAAACGUCUUUGAAGUCCCGAUUCUAAGCCGUUAAGCAUGGUGCACUAAACUAUCAAGUAGUCAUCAUAUUGAGCUAGCCAAACGUUCAUAACGUCUGCAUCUGCUCCUGCAAUAGGUCUGUCACCUAGCGGUGCAUCAAGGACAUAAUUUUUCUGUGCAGCAAUGAGGAUAAUCCUCAGAUCACGGAUCCAAUCCGCAUCUUUGCUACUAACAUCUUUCAACAUAAUUUUCUCUAGGAACAUAUCAAAAAUAAAACAGGGAAGCAACAACGCAAGCUAUUGAUCUACAACAUAAUUUGCCAAAUACUAUCAGGACUAAGUUCAUGAUAAAUUUAAGUUCAAUUAAUCAUAUUACUUAAGAACUCCCACUUAGAUAGACAUCCCUCUAAUCCUCUAAGUGAUCACGUGAUCCAUAUCAACUAAACCAUGUCCGAUCAUCACGUGAGAUGGAGUAGUUUCAACGAUGAACAUCACUAUGUUGAUCAUAUCUACUAUAUGAUUCACGCUCGACCUUUCGGUCUCCGUGUUCCGAGGCCAUAUCUGUUAUAUGCUAGGCUUGUCAAGUUUAACCUGAGUAUUCCGCGUGGGCAACUGUUUUGCACCCGUUGUAUUUGAACGUAGAGCCUAUCACACCCGAUCAUCACGUGGUGUCUCAGCACGAAGAACUUUUGCAACGGUGCAUACUCAGGGAGAACACUUAUACUUUGAUAAUUUAGUUAAGGAUCAUCUUAUAAUGCUACCGUCAAACAAAGCAAGAUAAGAUGCAUAAAGGAUUAACAUCACAUGCAAUCAAUAUAAGUGAUAUGAUAUGGCCAUCAUCAUCUUGUGCUUGUGAUCUCCAUCUCCGAAGCACCGUGCUUGUGAUCUCCAUCUCUGAAGCACCGUCAUGAUCACCAUCGUCACCGGCGCGACACCUUGAUCUCCAUCGUAGCAUCGUUGUUGUCUUGCCAACUUAUUGCUUUUACGACUAUCGCUACCGCUUAAUGAUAAAGUAAAACUAUUACAUGGCGAUUGCAUCUCAUACAAUAAAGCGACAAUCAUAUGGCUCCUGCCAGUUGCCGAUAACUCGGUUACAAAACAUGAUCAUCUCAUACAACACAUUAUAUCACAUCAUGUCUUGACCAUAUCACAUCACAACAUGCCCUGCAAAAACAAGUUAGACGUCCUCUACUUUGUUGUUGCAUAUUUUACGUGGCUGCUACGGGCUUAGCAAGAACCGUUCUUACCUAUGCAUCAAAACCACAACGAUAGUUUGUUAAGUUGGUGCUGUUUUAACCUUCGCAAGGACCGGGCGUAGCCACACUCGGUUCAACUAAAGUGAGAGAGACAAACACCCGCCAGUCACCUUUAAGCAACGAGUGCUCCGAACGGUGAAACCAGUCUCGCGUAAGCGUACGCGUAAUGUCGGUCCGGGCCGCUUCAUCUCACAAUACCGCUGAACCAAAGUAUGACAUGCUGGUAAGCAGUAUGACUUAUAUCGCCCACAACUCACUUGUGUUCUACUCAUGCAUAGCAUCAACACAUAAAACCAGGCUCGGAUGCCACUGUUGGGGAACGUAGUAAUUUCAAAAAAAUUCCUACGCACACGCAAGAUCAUGGUGAUGCAUAGCAACGAGAGGGGAGAGUGUUGUCCACGUACCCUCGUAGACCGACAGCGGAAGCGUUAUCACAACGCGGUUGAUGUAGUCGUACGUCUUCACGAUCCGACCGAUCAAGUACCGAACGUACGGCACCUCCGAGUUCUACACACGUUCAGCUCGAUGACGUCCCUCGAACUCCGAUCCAGCCGAGUGUUGAGGGAGAGUUUCGUCAGCACGACGGCGUGGUGACGAUGAUGAUGUUCCACCGACGCAGGGCUUCGCCUAAGCUCCGCAACGGUAUUAUCGAGGUGUAAUAUGGUGGAGGGGGGCACCGCACACGGCUAAGAGAUCUCAAGGAUCAAUUGUUGUGUCUAUGGGGUGCCCCCUGCCCCCGUAUAUAAAGGAGCAAGGGGGAGGCGGCCGGCCAAGGGGAGAGGCGCGCCAAGGGGGGGAGUCCUACUCCCACCGGGAGUAGGACUCCUCCUUUCCUUGUGGGAGUAGGAGAAGGGAAGGGGGAAGGAGAAAGAAGGAAGGGUGCGCCCCCCUUCCCUAGUCCAAUUCGGAGGGUGCGGCCACCUUUUGAGGCCUUUCUCUCCUUUCCCGUAUGGCCAUUAAGGCCCAAUACGAAUUCCCGUAACUCUCCGGUACUCCGAAAAAUACCCGAAUCACUCGGAACCUUUCCGAAGUCCGAAUAUAGUCGUCCAAUAUAUCGAUCUUUACGUCUCGACCAUUUCGAGACUCCUCGUCAUGUCCCCGAUCUCAUCCGGGACUCCGAACUCCUUCGGUACAUCAACAUACAUAAACUCAUAAUAAAACUGUCAUCGUAACUUUAAGCGUGCGGACCCUACGGGUUCGAGAACUAUGUAGACAUGACCAAGACACGUCUCCGGUCAAUAACCAAUAGCGGGACCUGGAUGCCCAUAUUGGCUCCCACAUAUUCUACGAAGAUCUUUAUCGGUCAGACCGCAUAACAACAUACGUUGUUCCCUUUGUCACCGGUAUGUUACUUGCCCGAGAUUCGAUCGUCGGUAUCUCGAUACCUAGUUCAAUCUCGUUACCGGCAAGUCUCUUUACUCGUUCCGUAAUGCAUCAUCCCGCAACUAACUCAUUAGUCACAAUGCUUGCAAGGCUUAUAGUGAUGUGCAUUACCGAGUGGGCCCAGAGAUACCUCUCCGAUAAUUGGAGUGACAAAUCCUAAUCUCGAAAUACGCCAACCCAACAAGUACCUUUGGAGACACCUGCAGAGCACCUUUAUAAUCACCCAUUUACGUUGUGACGUUUGGCAGCACACAAAGUGUUCCUCCGGUAAACGGGAGUUGCAUAAUCUCAUAGUCAUAGGAACAUGUAUAAGUCAUGAAGAAAGCAAUAGCAACAUACUAAACGAUCGAGUGCUAAGCUAACGGAAUGGGUCAAGUCAAUCACGUCAUUCUCCUAAUGAGGUGAUCUCGUUAAUCUAAUGACAACUUAUGUCUAUGGCUAGGAAACAUAACCAUCUUUGAUUAACGAGCUAGUCAAGUAGAGGCAUAGUAGUGACACUCUGUUUGUCUAUGUAUUCACACAUGUAUUAUGUUUCCGGUUAAUACAAUUCUAGCAUGAAUAAUAAACAUUUAUCAUGAUAUAAGGAAAUAAAUAAUAACUUUAUUAUUGCCUCUAGGGCAUAUUUCCUUCAGAUCUCCCCAAGGAUGUCGUCCGGGAGAUCGCUGAUGCGUUCCACCGGAGAUUCUACGGGUUCCUCAGAUCCGGGUGGGGGCGGGGGGCUCGCCGCUUCUCCCCGCGCUGCCAGGUGUGGGAUCUACAACCGGCGUCGCCGCUGGCGGGAGCCUCAUCUUCUUGGCGCUGGGGCCAGCCGACUCCAUUUUCCUUGCGGGUGUCGCGCCGAGCACACGGGUUUGGGCAGAGUAGCCAGAGACGAGCCUAGUGGCAGUGUGAGUGGGGAAGAAGGAGGGCUGGGGUUUUCUGUAGGAGUGGAAAAAGAGGAGCAGGUGUUUUCUGUAUGAGUGAGGAAGAAGGUAAGCGGGGGUUUUCUGUACGAGUGAGGAAGAUGGGGAGCGGGAGAAAUUAGGGGGCGACGAAAGCGGUAGAGUCCGGCGAGCUGCAGUAUAAGUGGAAGUGACGAGUAAGGAGGGUUUUUCUGGGAUCGCUCCCUCUCAAGGAAUAUGGGCUUCUCCUCGCAAAAAACAAAAACAAAUGGGCUUUAAGAUGGAUAGGCUUUUGUAUCAGCCCAGUCGGCUGCCCAUGUUUCGUACUGGUGGGCCUUAACACUAGAGGCAGCCCAUUAGAGACACUCUCCAGCUCUCCAGCUUAUUGCCCAUUCGAAAGAAAAUAAGACAUGCCUCCACCUUAAUUAUGGCUCCUCAUCGGUAACAUUUUUCAACUUGGAAAAAAGUUAUAGCUCCUUUUCGGGACGGCUUGGCAUCCACCAAAUUAGAGGAUGGUGUACUGCAUGCAGACACUCACACUGGUCGUAGCGCGGCAAAAUGAGGGGUCAAAUAACAUGCCCAAAAUGAGGGGUCAAAUGACUAGGGGCUCCCCAGGUCGCUCCCUCGCCUGGUUCGACCGGUUAACCAAUCGCAAAUGCUAUUUCUCGCUUUAAGCGAGUCGCCAAAAAGUGUCGCCGAAGGAUUUUUUUUUUCCUGUACUGUAGUUACUCGGCUCGCCCACCUAAUAAAAAGAAAAGGAGGAGAAAAAGCUAACAAAAUAGGGUUUCGAUUCCUCGCCUCUUGGAUAGAAGCUAGCGCCGGUAGCCACUUCCAAUAGGUCAUGUUCCUCGACGACGUCAAGGCGCGGUCACCUUUAAUGUAAAAGAGCCAAUUUUUUCCAUGUUUUUCUGUUUUAUUCCGUUUUUUCCAGGUUUUUUCUUUUCUUUUGUUUCUUCCCCUUUUUCUUCUCUAGUUAUUCUUUUUCAUUUUUCAUUUUAUUUCCUUUUUCUUCUCCAUUUUUUGUUUGGGUUUCUUUUUCCUUCUCCAUUUUUUGUUUUCCUUUUCCGGAUUUUUUUGGUUUUCUUUCUUUCUUUUUGUCUUUCAUUCUACAUUAUAUACACAUCGUCAACAUCUUUUCAAAUACUUGUUCAACACUUUUCAAGUACUUGUUCAACAUUUUUAAACACUUUGCUCAACAUUUUUUUAUACAUCAUCAACAUUUUUUUCAAAUACUUCUUCAACAUUUUUCAAAUACUUAUUCAACUUUUUUUGGAUGCUUGAUUAAAAUGUUUUUAAAUACUUGUUCAAACAUUUUUCAAAUACAUGAUCAACAUUUUUCAAACGCUUGAUUUAAAAUUUUAAAUACUUGUUCAACAUUUUAUUAAAUGCUUGAUUAACAUUUUUCAAAUACUUGUUCAACAUUUUCGAUGUACUUGUUCAGCAUUUUUUCGAAUGCUUGACCAAUAUUUUUCAAAUACUUGUUCAGCAAUUUGUCCCAAUGCUUCAUCAACAUUGUUUAAAUACUUGUUCAACAUUUUCAAAUACCUUUUCAACAUUUUAUGAUAUGCAUUCAGAAUUUUUCAAAUACCUUUUCAACAUUUUUAGUACUAAUUCAACAUUUUCUAAUACAUGAUCAACAUUUUUUAAAUUUUUGUUCAACAUUUUUUUAAUAACUAUUCAACAAUUUUUGAAUACUUGUGCUACAUUUUUUAAUGUGUUUUUGAAUAGUGUUUUUAUGUAAUAUAUGUAUUUAAGAUAUUAUAAAGUACAAAAUUUUAAAAAAGCAAAAAACGAAAAAAAAAACAGGAAACUGCAGGUGCUUCCCCGCGCGCUUGGGCCGGCCAAUAUGCUCGACUCGCUCAAGGCGAGGAAUAGUCGUGCCCUUGACCAAUGACUUGUUGACCCUUGAAACCGUUGACGAUUCAAUUUUUAAAAUUCAAAAUUUCAUAAAAAGAAAGAAAUAUUGUUCGAAAAUUUUAAAACAAAUUCAUAAAUUUGAAAAAAAAUGUGGAUUUUCGUGAUUUGUCUUUUAAAAAGCCAUGAAAUAUAGGGAAAAUGUUCACAAUUUUGAAAUAAAAUCAUUAAUUUGAAAAUUUUCAUGAAAUUUGUGGAAAAAAGUUCACGGAUUUAAAAAAAUCUUCAGUUUUGAAUGAAAAUUUCACGAAUUAGAACAAAUUUCACUGGAUUUCAAAAAAAAAGUCAAGGUUUGAAAGAUGUUCAUCAACUUUGAAAAAAUAAUCACAAAUUUGAAAAAAUUCAUUGAUUUUGAAAAAAUGUCACUAAUUUGGAAAUAUUGUGAACAAAUAAAGUUCACAAAUUUGAAAAAAGGUUCGCGGAUUUGAGAAAAGUUCAUUGAUUGUGAUAAAAAUAAAUUUCACAAAUUUGAAUAAUGUUAAUCAAUUUUUAAAAAGUUCACAGGUUUAAAAAAAGUUCACGAAUUUGAUAAAGUUCACGAUUUGAAUAAAUUUCCAAAUUUGAUUUUUUAUGUAUUUUAGAAAAUAAAAAAGAAGGAGGAACAAGAAAAAUGAAAACAAAAAGUAAAAACCCGAGUGAAAAAACAGAUGAAAAAUUGGACAAACUAAAAAAGUCUAGAAGGCGCAGAAUAAGAAGCAACAGAAGUAUUAGAACGCAAUAGUAUGUGAGCCGUCCGAGUUGGUUACUAAAUUUGGAAGAAAACGGUGAGGUUCUGAGUUCGAAUCUCAAGACCCGUGUCACCUUAUGAAGGUUGAAAAAGAAGAAAAAUGGGCCGAGCUCAGGAUGCGGAGGGUGUGCGCCGAUUUGUUCAGUUGCCUUUAAACUGGAGCAGGGGAAGGGAGUGUCGUUCUGCUGCUGACUAUCUUGUAUGGGCUUCUUCGAUCCCGGCAGCAGGGGCACAAUCAGGAACAAGUUUGAUGAGGAUAAUGGUAUGUCAGAGGAUGAUACCGAUCCAGGUGCAGCGACCAAGAGUAAUGAGCUUAGAAAAAUUCAGAACGCCGCACCCCAUGCCUAAGUCAGGAUCCACCUUGUGAUGCUACCGAUGCGUCGAACUCCCUAGCAUAUUUUAAAUUUUUAGAAAAAAUAGCACAUUUACACAAUAUAAAUGUAUGUUGUCACAAAAUUUCAAAUUAAAAUUUUAAAAUAGUGUAUGUUGUCUCAAAAUCUCAAACUAAAAUUUAAAACAUAGCUCAGAAAACAAAAUGACAAAUUUGAUACUAAAUAGUACUCCCUUCGUCCCAAAAUUCUUAUCUUAGAUUUGUCUAGAUACGGAUGUAUCUAACACUAAAACGUCACUAUACAUCCGUAUUUAGACAAAAUUAAGACAAGAAUUUUGGGACGGAGGGAGUACAUAAAUAAACUGGGCUUUUGAUUUGGCCUCUUGUCACAUUGAUGUCUAAUUAAUCAUUUGUGUAUCUCGAGCAGUGUUUUGAAUUUUGAUAUGAAAUUUUAUAAUAAUAUACAUUGAUGUUGCGUAGGAGGAAAAAACCCUCGGGUUUUCGGGGCAUUGCAUUCUCACCUAUCUCUUCAUACUCAAGCGACAUUCUCUCUUCUAUUUUGUUGACCCUCACUUUCGCGGUUGCUUCUCUCUAAGGCGGACACUGUCCUAUCAAUGCAUUUUGGCAUCCCACACCUUCAGCAGAUCACUUAGCCCCCUUUCAUAGCCUAUCUCUCUCUGAAAGGCCUCUGAUUUCACGAUCCAAUUUGAAAAGCUGGCUGACAAUUGUAGCUCUAGCUGAAAGAAAUUUCCCCACUCAAGUCAGGCCCUGGAAAACCAACCAAAGAAUGGAAGGAGUGCGCGAUGGAGGCCCUCGUAAAUCAAAUUAUAAUCUGAACUAUAGCCAGGGCAAAUCUCUUGAUAUCGGAGGCUGGUUUCUAGGCAUAGGAGCCGUCAAAGGAAAGGCUAGAAGCCUUGGCUUUGAUGCACCCCGACUGUACAAAAAGGAUCAGAGGUCAAAUUAGUUAACCAAUUAUGAUAUUUGUGAAAGAUAAUGAAGCUUCAUUCCCUUGCAAGCUGAUAUGGCGUCUGGAGAACCCAGCUAGCAGGUUUUGCAGCGACCCUCCCAGAGAGCAUAUAACAAGGAAAAAUCUGGUUUUGGAAGCUGAGCCUAAGGGACCAUUAACAACAAUCCGACAGUAACCACUGCGACAGUAAACGUCCUACUCUCAACAAGGAUCGCAGCAUCAAACAUCUGAACCAACGACAAUCUCAAACCAACAAAAAGCAGAAAUCCGAGCAGCCACAGACGAGGCGAAAAGCCCACAGAAAGUAAGAGAGUUAAUAGAGUUAUCUCUCUAUUAAGGCAAACACAAGUACUGGACUGAACGAUUUAUAUAUUCUUCACAAACCACAACCAAAAAAGAGUACUUGAUUAGCAACUCCAUUACAGAUACUAGUUGAUGCGGAAAACAGAAGGUAACUCAUGUCCAACUAACAUGAACCAGGCGUCGUCUGGCGACGCCAUCCACAUUUAUUCUUCGCAUAGACAAAGCAGGGACACCUCUGACCAGGCGCCACAAAGGAAAGCAGAGCACUCUACUGAGUCUUGGCCAUGUGGCGGAUCAGGUCGACAACGCGGUU